rnacentral:rRNA from 1 species
CGUGUAGGCGGCUUGGUAAGUCUGAUGUGAAAGCCCGGGGCUUAACUCCGGAAGUGCAUUGGAAACUGCCUGGCUUGAGUACGGGAGAGGAAAGUGGAAUUCCGAGUGUAGGGGUGAAAUCCGUAGAUAUUCGGAGGAACACCAGUGGCGAAGGCGGCUUUCUGGACCGGUACUGACGCUGAGACGCGAAAGCGUGGGGAGCAAACA